rnacentral:rRNA from 1 species
GUAGUCUCGCACAGAUGCAUAUCAAUAAGCGGAGGAAAAGAAACUAACAAGGAUUCCCCUAGUAACGGCGAGUGAAGCGGGAAGAGCUCAAAUUUGAAAUCUUAAAGGGUUUCCCUUUACGAAUUGUAGUUUAAAGAAGUGUUUUCUGUUGAGGUUUUGGUAAAAGUUCUUUGGAAUAGGACAUCAUAGAGGGUGAGAAUCCCGUAUUUGACCUUUACUUUCAACUUUGUGAUACACUUUCAAAGAGUCGGAUUGUUUGGGAAUGCAGUCCAAAAUGGGUGGUAAAUUUCAUCUAAAGCUAAAUAUUGGCGAGAGACCGAUAGCGAACAAGUACCGUGAGGGAAAGAUGAAAAGAACUUUGAAAAGAGAGUUAAACAGUACGUGAAAUUGUCAAAAGGGGAAGCGUUUGACACCAGUGUUGUUUUUCUGAAAAUCAAUUAAAGAACUGUUUAUGCUAAGCUUGUUUAGACUUUAUCAGCUAUCUGCUUAGUUUUGAGCUUUUCUUUAAUGCACUUUUCAGUUAACAAGUCAACAUCAAUUUCUUUUGCUGUAAAAAAGCUUGAGGAAGGUGGCUUGAGAUUCGUCUUAAGUGUUUAUAGCCUCUUGCCUAUGCAGUCGGAGAGAUUGAGGUCUGCAGCGUAGAUCCUUCGGGGCUAAAUGCAUUUGUGCUAAGUUAUAGCAUUUUAUAGACAACUUGUUGACUAUGAUUUGUCUUGUAGCUUACUCGCUUAUGUUAUUUUACCUACGCUUAGGAUGUUGACAGCAGUAUAGACUGU